UACGUAGGGGGCAAGCGUUGUCCGGAUUUAUUGGGCGUAAAGAGCGUGUAGGCGGCCAGACAAGUCUGCUGUGAAAACUCGAGGCUCAACCUCGAGCUGUCGGCGGAAACUGUCUGGCUAGAGUCCGGAAGAGGAGAGUGGAAUUCCUGGUGUAGCGGUGAAAUGCGCAGAUAUCAGGAAGAACACCUAUGGCGAAGGCGGUUCUCUGGGACGGUACUGACGCUGAGACGCGAAAGCGUGGGGAGCGAACAGG
rnacentral:rRNA from 1 species